rnacentral:misc_RNA from 1 species
UACGGAGGGUGCGAGCGUUGUUCGGAAAUACUGGGCGUAAAGCGCACGUAGGCGGCUUGGCAAGUCAGGGGUGAAAUCCCGGAGCUCAACUCCGGAACUGCCUUCGAAACUGCCUGGCUAGAAUCCUGGAGAGGCGAGUGGAAUUCCGAGUGUAGAGGUGAAAUGCGUAGAUAUUCGGAAGAACACCAGUGGCGAAGGCGACUCGCUGGACAGGAAUUGACGCUGAGGUGCGAAAGCGUGGGGAGCAAACAGG